CGGUCCUGAAAUAACGAAAUCAUAAUGUUUAUGAGUUUAUUGCCUUUGCUGGAAUGUGAAAAUAUUUACCUUCGUAUUGUAUUUAUGUACAAUAUAAAAUGAUGCUGCACAUGCUGCUCUGUGCCAUAGUAGUUGGUGAUUUUGAUGGAUCAUUAAGAUUUAUAUGGUCAUUUUCCAGGAUACAAAGCAGCAACUUUUCCACACUCUUUAGUGUCAUGUACUAUAAAAUUGCAAGCAGUUCUCGCAAAAAUAUGCAGUAUUAUGGGAUUUACUAUGUUGUGAAUAACAUAAUUUUCUCAUGCACGUUAUAUAUGCAUAAUGCAUCAUUUGCAUAUUAUCACUAUUAAUUCCAAGCAAGUUUAUGUGAAAACCAGCAAACACAAGUAUUUAAUUGCGACCAUUAGGCAAAUCAAGGAGAGCAGAAAAAUGAAUGGAAUUAUAUGAAUAUAUGAAUAUAAUAAAGAUAUAAGAAAAUUAAUAUUAAUACAUAGAAAAAUCAAAAUCCGACAAAAUUAUCGAAGCAGCGUGGUAAAUAAAGAACAUUGACAUUGUUUUCACAGAACCUGUGCCAGGAGAACAGCCAAUAUCGCGCAAGUACAUGAAUUAUUAAUUACUUUGUGCACAAUGCACAAUAGCUAAAGAAAUGUUGAUUACAUUUAAAAAAGAAUUUUAUUAUUUAGAAAAAAAAAUUUGAUGUGUUAUCAGAAACAUUGGCGGAGGCGGUGGCUCUUCUCAAGCUACCAUGAAGUUCCAAAUGCCAUGAAGUUCCCGAUAGAGUCGACGAUGGAGUUGGAGCAUUUCAACUCUAUCAUAACUCCAGAGCUCACCGAUUUCUAUGUGAACGGCGGUGAAGAUGAAAAUACCCAACGAGCGAGCAGAAAAAGUGAUUCGGAAGGCUAUUCACAACAUUAAGAAAAGUAAUUUUCAGAAGAGCUCACGAGCCUAAAAAUACAAAGCUCUGGCCUCCUAAGAAAAUAAUUAAUAAUAGUUUUUCAUAAAUAAAGCUAACUGGAAAAAUAAAUGCAUGAUUUUUCGACAAAAAUCAUCGUUUAUUAAGUGCAUGAUUCGUCGGGAAAAAUCAUCACUUAUAAAAUGCUUGAAUUUCGGCAAAAAUCAUAGCUUAUUAAGUGCAUGAUUUUUUGGCUCCUAUCGCCCUCCUAUCUCUCUCUAACACACACGUAUCAUAGCCGGCUUUGCUUAGCGCAAAACAUUAGCACCUACAUAGAUCUCAGAGACUAAAAGAGCUAGAGCAAACAAAUUUGCUAUCCACAAUACUAUGAU